rnacentral:rRNA from 1 species
CUCGACUGCACGAAGCUGGAAUCGCUAGUAAUCGCGGAUCAGCACGCCGCGGUGAAUACGUUCCCGGGCCUUGUACACACCGCCCGUCACACCAUGGAAGUCUGCAAUGCCCGAAGCCGGUGGCCUAACCACUUAUGUGGAAGGAGCCGUCUAAGGCAGGGCAGAUGACUGGGGUGAAGUCGUAACAAGGUAGC